rnacentral:rRNA from 1 species
UACGUAGGGUGCAAGCGUUGUCCGGGAUUAUUGGGCGUAAAGAGCUCGUAGGCGGUUUGUCGCGUCUGCUGUGGAAACCCGAGGCUCAACCUCGGGCCUGCAGUGGGUACGGGCAGACUAGAGUGCGGUAGGGGAGAUUGGAAUUCCUGGUGUAGCGGUGAAAUGCGCAGAUAUCAGGAGGAACACCGGUGGCGAAGGCGGGUCUCUGGGCCGAUACUGACGCUGAGGAGCGAAAGCGUGGGGAGCGAACAGG